rnacentral:rRNA from 1 species
UACGAAGGGUGCAAGCGUUACUACGGAAUUGACUGGGCGAUAAAGCGUGCGUAGGUGGUUUGUUAAGUCUGUUGUGAAAAGCCCCCGGGCUCAACCUGGGAAAUUGGGCAAUGGAUUACUAGGCAGGCUGAGAGUGCAGGUAGAGGUAGUGGGAAUUCCCGGUGUAGCGGUGAAAUGCGUAGAGAAUCGGGAGGAACACCAGUGGCGAAGGCG